rnacentral:rRNA from 1 species
GAUUGACCUCGGAUCAGGUAGGGAUACCCGCUGAACUUAAGCAUAUCAAUAAGCGGAGGAAAAGAAACCAACAGGGAUUGCCUCAGUAACGGCGAGUGAAGCGGCAACAGCUCAAAUUUGAAAUCUGGCCCCUUUGGGGUCCGAGUUGUAAUUUGUAGAAGAUGUUUCGGGUAAGGCGCCGGUCUAAGUCCCUUGGAACAGGGUGUCGCAGAGGGUGAGAAUCCCGUAUGUGACCGGCGACCGAGUCCAUGUGAAACUCCUUCGACGAGUCGAGUUGUUUGGGAAUGCAGCUCAAAAUGGGUGGUAAAUUUCAUCUAAAGCUAAAUACCGGCCAGAGACCGAUAGCGCACAAGUAGAGUGAUCGAAAGAUGAAAAGCACUUUGGAAAGAGAGUUAAACAGUACGUGAAAUUGUUGAAAGGGAAGCGCUUGCCACCAGACCUGCCCGCGGGCGCUCAGCGGGGGGUUCCCCCCUGUGCACUCGUCCGCGAACAGGCCAGCAUCGGUUUCGGUGGCCGGAUAAAGGCCCCGGGAAUGUAGCUCCCCUCGGGGAGUGUUAUAGCCCGGGGUGCAAUACGGCCAACCCGGACCGAGGACCGCGCUUCGGCUAGGAUGCUGGCGUAA